UACGAAGGGGGCUAGCGUUGCUCGGAAUCACUGGGCGUAAAGGCGCGUAGGCGGCCUGAUAAGUCGGGGGUGAAAGCCUGUGGCUCAACCACAGAAUUGCCUUCGAUACUGUUGGGCUUGAGACCGGAAGAGGUAAGUGGAACUGCGAGUGUAGAGGUGAAAUUCGUAGAUAUUCGCAAGAACACCAGUGGCGAAGGCGGCUUACUGGUCCGGAUCUGACGCUGAGGCGCGAAAGCGUGGGGAGCAACAGG
rnacentral:rRNA from 1 species